rnacentral:ncRNA from 2 species
GUGAAUCCGUUGGGGUGCCCCGUCAGGGGCUGAGAGGCGACAGCCGACCCAUAGAACCUGAUCCGGCUAAUACCGGCGUAGGGAACGGAGCUCGACCGAAC